CUCCUACGGGAGGCAGCAGUAAGGAAUUUUGGGCAAUGGGGGAAACCCUGACCCAGCAACGCCGCGUGAAGGAUGAAGUAUUUCGGUAUGUAAACUUCGAAAGAAUAGGAAGAAUUAAUGACGGUACUAUUUAUAAGGUCCGGCUAACUACGUGCCAGCGCCGCGGUAA
rnacentral:rRNA from 1 species